GGGCCUCUCUGCAUCCUUCUAUUCCUGUUUCACGGUGCAGUCUGGCAGCAGAGGGAGGAAACAGACGAGGGAAGACCUAGAGACACCCUAGGAAGACGGCUUGCAGUGCUAACUCACAGAACAGAAUUCUGGGAUGGGGAGACGGGAAGAGGUUCUGGAUACCGACUUCGAAGAUCUGGUGUCUGAAGCUCAGUGUUAAAGGGAAAAUUUGGACGCAAACAUCCAAGUACAGAGAAGAGAAUGGGAUGACACAGGGAGAGAAGACUGACAUCUACCAGCCAGGGCGGGAGGAUGCAACAGCCCCUCCCCCACAGCACUCAGAAGGAACCAGCCCUGCCCACACCUGAAUCUCAGACUCCCAGCCUCCAGAACAGUGAGAGAAUGUACGUUUGUCGUGACAGCCUGAAAGCUGCCUGGUUUGUCUUACUUUGUUACAGCUUCCCUGUAGGCAGAUCCACACAGUAUUUUUGAAGAAGAGGGAAUUCAGAUUUGACAGUCACUUUCCUGAUACUUCUGCUGCCCCUUUCCCCAAAGCAAGACGCGUCCAUGUCGGGAGGCUUCAAAGAAGAAUGGGUUCUUUCACACAGAUUAGAACCUUGAGCUUUCUUAGCCUCUGGCAUUUCCUGGUCAAGGUGACUGUUCAUUUUGGAAAACAUGGUGGAAAGACUUCAAGAGAAGAAUGAUUACAAAUCUUGAAG